GUCCCGUUCGUUGGUGGCACUGGCUGUUGCGCGUCUCAUUGCCAUUGGGAUUCACCAAUCCCAUCCGCGCCCAUCCUCCGAAACGUUCAAGGGUUCGCCAACCCUUCGUCAAGCCUGCGGCCCCUCCGCCUCGUCUCCUCCUUGCUUCCUCUCCCAUGUCAUUGCCCUCGAGCCCGCGCCCCCUCCACCUCGUCUCCUCUCCAACGCCGCCACCCUUGAUGCGCCGUCAGGGACGCCGUCGACACGUCGGGGAUACGUAGCGAUGGAGCUCAGCCCAAGCCCACCAGAAGCCCACUCCUAACCCUAUUCGCUCGAUUAACAAGACCAGGCAACGGAUUGGAUCGAGGGCGCCCGCAUGGCCUCGUCGCCGCUGCCUCCUGGAUUUGCUAGCCGCCGCGUGGAGUCACCCUGGCCGCCGCCUUGAGUCACCUCUGUCGCUGCCUCCUCGAGUCACCUCCAUCGCUGCCGCCUCGAGUCACCUCCGUCGUCGCCACAAGUAAGCUCCACCGUUGCCGCCAGGAAUCUCGUCCAGGCAAGGAAUGAAUGUUCUACGGUUGGAGCAGAGGGGGUUGGGCAGCAGUUGAGCUUAGAUUCAAGAUUUUCUUACACAUGGGGCUUAUUCUCCUAAUGUUUCUAGGUUGCUUUGGAGGCUGAUAUCAGGUGGCUACUCAUGUCUGGCUUGGUGCUUAUAUUUUAGAUGUUCCAUUAAUCUUGGCUGCUUUUCUCAUCCGUUUUGGGCUUUAACCUUGGAUCUAGAAGGUUGCAGCUUCUUUGUUCUCCUACUCAAGAUUUUCUCAUUGUUCAGUUCAAGCCAUGUUCCUCUGGUGUUAUAUAAUUCGCCAUGAGCUGCCUGAGGUGAGGAACGGGCACUCCCAACGCCGUCCUCCAAUCAGUCCUUCACGGCAAAGAAAGCCAGCUCUCGGAUUUCAGUAAGGAAGGCGCGGCCACCAUGCCAUGUCCAUGGCACCACCGACCCUUUACCUGCCUCCUCUUUGAAGUGCAGCACCAUCGUACCCCCUUUGGCCCUUCCCAUACAGUUUUGCCUCACCAUAGGAGGAAGACAGGAGCUGUCUGCCUGCCUGCUACCCCAAAAGGAUGCGCCACCCAGUCAGCCGAGUGAUGGUAGAUCCCAGUGGAAAUGCCUCUGGCUCACUGGUUUUGGUUCAGUUUGAAGGGCUCUCGGGGCAAAAGAUAAUUGAGUUGUUGAAUCUGAAUGGGCGCCGCGAGGAGUGGAGGAUCGAGGUUGUGGGUUGCCAGCUUCAAAUUUUGGUUGAGCACUUCCUCAAGAAUCUUGUUGAGGUGUCUGUUUCCUCUCUUUGUGUCAUGAAAGAUUGUGUUGGCUGUAGGGUCUUCGCAAGGAGUUGAAGGCUGAGGUCAUGGUUGCCAGCUUCAAUUUUUUGCUGACCAAUUCCUCAAGAGUCUUGCCAAGAUCUGAGGAUGAAGGGAAGAAGAAGAAUUUAACUAAAGAGUUGAAGAAGAUGAAGGCUCGAUGAUGGUCUGGCAACGCUACAUAUACAUCUGAAUGCCAAUGAUAGUAUGGUUUAGAUAGACAAGUUAAUAAUUUCUUUUUCUUCAUCAAGCUUAUUCUUCCAUUGAUCUACAUUUAAUUUGAUUCACAAACCCGACACCCUUUGGAGUAGGCAAUGUGUAUCUCUGAAUCUUGGCACUUGGGUGUUAUAUAUAUUUCAUUGGUUCGUCGCUCAUUGUAGCAAUGUACGGGCCAGAGACAAUCGGCGAUAAAAACGAUCUGCUUGCAAGUUCUAUAUUACCAGCGGAGGCUUUGCCAAGAGGAAGGGUAAUUCGUGCAGGGUAAUAAACCCUACAUGGUAAUCAAGGGGAACAUCUUUAUAAGUUGUGCUUUUUGUAAGCUACGAUGUGUUUUUCAUCUCGUUGUUCUUUAGAUAUCUUCCUUUUACAUUUUUUGUAUGUGAUGGUUAGUUGAUCAGGCUGAGUGCUUCUUUGCAGUGCUUGCUUUGUUGGAACAUGUUCAUUUGGCUAAUAAAACAUUACACAUCUCUCUUGAAUUAUGUGCAUCUCCUUUUUAGUUAUUUGAUUUUUUUAGUGACUCGCUAAUUGGAAAAUCAGGAUUCUAAAACUUGGCAUAAUGAAUUCUUGAAUUACGUACUUCUUAUUGUGCAUGUCAAACUGAGGACUAAAUAUAUUUUUAGUUGAGCUAUUGUUUUGAGUAUUUCUCUGCAACAACUUAAAUUACUUUUUGCAAAUAAAAUGAGCUAGCAUAUGCUAUACUUGCAAUGGUAAAUUAAUUAUGCAGUUUUGAGGAUUGAGGAAAUUAAUGGUCAGUCGGUCAUUGAGGGUUUGAAAGAGCCAUCAAGGCAACGAUCUCAUUUCAUCUCAUGUAUUGAUUUUGUUAUCUUCUUUAUAUGGCAUUUUAUUAAUUAUUUAUAUAUAUUUGCCGUACUGCUUUUCUAAAAAUUGAUGUAUCCUUUGUCUCCAUUUCCGUAUCGCCGUAUCUGUGUUGCCAGUGCACCAUAGCAAUUACUUAUUGAAGGAAAAUGUCCCUCUUCUUGUUCCCAUUGCUCGAUAAGCAUGAUCGCAUUUCUACCGAUUGAUUAUAAAUAUGGCCUUUCUUUUGAUUAUUUGGUGGUACUUCUGAUUGGCACUAUGAGGUGCUUCUUUGUCGUGUAGAUUCAUCCUUUACUUAAAUACUGAUGAUGAUAUGGUUGUAAAUUAGUCUGGUAUAUGCCAAUAGUUGUCUCUCCCAGAAGAAAUUUUGUGAGAAUAGUGUACCUAAAGAGUUGGUUGUUUGUCUGGAUUGAACACCCAACUAUAAGAAUGGGUUGACAACACCGAUUGACUCUAUUGGCGCUUCUAUGUUGGCCAGCUUCAUCAUUUACUUAUACACUGAUGAUAUUGUUGUCAGCGUGUUGUAAGUACUUCGGGAAACAAGCCUGGUAUAUUACAAUGAUGUAGUCCUGCAGAUCAGUAUAGGUCACCGGCUUUAUAUUGUGGUCAGCGUGUUGUAAGUACUUUGGGAAACAAGUUCUGGGGUAAGUUUAUCUGCUUGCUCAUGCAUUUUAAUACUUGAUUGAUGUCCUGAUAAUUUGUGAAGUUCUGUGUACCAUGUGAUAAGCUGCACAUCAGGUUGCAUGGCAGCUUGUUUGUUGCUUUUAGGAUGUGCAUGUACCCAGGUGGAUCAAAUACAGAUACCAAUCAUAUAUUAUUAUUUUUACA